UAAGGUCUCUGCUACGCAUUAAGUCCAACACGGCCCAUUCCGAAUGGAGAAUACGACGACAUGUCGGAUUUCGGAUUGCAAUUUGCAGCGUGCAAAGUGUAAAACGUCGUAAAAUCAGAACAAAGAAGAAAUAGAAAAUCUGCAUAACGACACUGAAGAAACAACAAUCGUUGAAACAAAUAAAAGCAUCAGCCAGAAAGGAGCGAAGAGAGUGAAGGAGAGACUUUUUAGAGAGAGGGCGCAAAAGAAAGAGAAUUACUUUUGUAGCGAAAGAAAAGAGCAAGCAAAACAAAGAGAGAAUGGGUUGGAUGGUAAAUAAACAUGUAGAGAUAGGAAGAAGAAAGAGAAGCCGCAUUUGGGGUGGAGCAUUUCUGUGUUGGGUUUUGCUCAUGUUGCCACACCCAAGAUCCCUCUCCCUAGCCAGCACCAUCUUUUCGCUGACAUGCGCAAUUUUCUUGCAUUUUGCUAUCUGGGUGACUGAGUAAGAGGCUUUAAUCCUCAUAAAUUUAAUUCACUCCUGGACUUGUCAUUUCGGUUGAAAACGACUUGUCAUCUCCGUUUGAUGGUAUCUAUUUCGUUAUAUGACCGAAGUUCCCAACACUUUGAAUGUGAUCACCAAUUUUCCCUUUCUGGUUGUGGGUGUUGUGGGUUUUGUCCUCUGUCUUCAAGGAUGCCUUUUUACUAUAAGCUUGCGAGGAGAGGUUUGGGGUUGGCUGCUUUUCUAUGGAUGAAUCGUAGGUGUCGCUUUGGGUUCUGCUUACUAUCAUCUAAAUCCAGACGACAGUAGAGUCAUGUGGGACACCUUGCCGGUUAGCAUUGCUAUUCUGUUGUAUAAUUAUCGUAGUUUUUAUGUUUUGCUUUUUUUGGUUUGCAAGGAAUGUAGCAAAGCGAAACAAUAGCAUACAAAUGUUCUUUAACGUUUGUAGUUUGUUUUCCUGUAUUUGAAACUGGAAUUUGUGCUACCUACUUAGACCAUACUUAAUUCCACAAUUUUGGCCCACUGGAUCCAGGCUUUUUUUUUUUUUCUUAAUAUAUUCUUAAGAUUCAAAACAAAAUGUAGGAUUAUGGUUUCUUUUGCAGAUCACUAUUUUCUCCUUUUCUAUGGGUGAUGCUUUUGUUUUCAAAUUCUUAAUGUGCAUUGCUAUAUGCUGAUGAUGAUAGCAUAUUAUUCACUUUUCUCUAGUUUUGUUGUGGAAAGAGUAGGACAACAGGUUGGAUUAAGUUGUUUGUUUGGGCUGCUAUUUGUUGUUCCACUUUACACGGCCUAUGCAAGGUUGGUUUUUAAUUCCUAAAUUUGAGAUGUAAAUCCUCUGGUUCAUUGAUUGGUGCUCCUGUAUCAUGCAUGGUCUAAAGUUUUGUGCUGGGAAUGUGUUGCUAGUUGGUUGCAGAAUAUUUAAUGAUCUUCGGUUGUGCAUGAUGUUCCAAUUGAUUCCAUGCAUAGCCAUACCAGGCAUGACAUUUCUCUACCUGCCAAAAUAUAUGCACUCAGUGUAUUGGCUUUGGGCGGCAGGUAUUCCAUGCCUUAUCAGCUCUUUUAUCAUCAUCAUUAUUUUUAUUAUUAAUUUCAGUCAGUAAAGAAUAAAAAAAAUUCAACUCUUCAUGCGUUUAUAGUAUUAAAAAUAUCUCUAACUUAUGACUUAUUGUUCAAAAUAAUUACAAAAGCAAAGUUCAAUAGAUCAGUAAUCAAUCAAUGCAAACAAUAUUGAUGUUAAAAGAACAUGUACCAAGAUCUAGGAGAAGUGUGGCAAAUGAUCUUUUGCUUUAUGGAUGUACAUCCAAUGAAAGAGCUGUGGCAGUCUUUUGCAAUGAUACUGUCAUUGCAACUAAGACCACUUGUCCGGCAACAACAUAAAAUGGAUGAAUACUUCAGAAGAGAAAAAGGCAAAAUGCUUUGUUGGAAAGUUAUAAAUUUUGAGUUUUAAAUGAGAUUAUGCGUAACUUUGUGAGGAAAAUUUUGUCCAGGCUUCCUUAAGUUUUGAAGGAAACCCUUUUUCUUGCCCUUGAGUUGUUUCCGAUUAUCCUCUUGUCUGAUCGUCUCAAAAUUGCAGAGGAGACAGGGGAAGAAAGAUUCUAGGUCCUCUUCUUUUGUUGUUUUCAUUGCUUUACAUAUAUGAUUCAUGACCUUGCAACCUGAAUUCUGAGAAAGGAACUUAAGCACAUAUGUCAAUUGGCAAUUCAGCCCCAAAAUAAGAUGCUUGAAUCCUUCUUUUAAGCUGAAACAUAAUAUGCAGAGGUGCUUUCUAGUUUAGCACUUUUAUUGUUAAAAAAAUUUUUUGGCAGGAGAUUUGUCAGUUUUUCUAGGGAUGGUAAUGUAUAUAAAUACCUGGCUAGUUUUUUACUGCUCGGAAUGCUUAGUGUUUUCUAUCAAGCCUUUAGUUGGAUGCACCGCAAGGAUGCUUCUGACUUGAUUGAAAUUUGAUAUAUAUCACUUAAUGCAGCACAUGAAGACUGGGCAUCAAUAUGACCUUUUAAUUAUUGUGAUCAGAUGUGACUGGAUGAAGUCUUGAGAUAUAAACCAUCGUUAUGUGAAAUAGUUGUACAAGAAGUUUGAAACAUUGAAUUGAAGUGCCUGUUUUCUGAUCAAUUUUCUUUCUUACAUUGCCUCUUUAUCUGGUUUGGCAUUACUGUGUAGAAGAUUUUGGUAUAGAUGAUGGUUUAUUUUGUUGUUCAUUCACCACCUGUCUCUAAGUUUUCACACCAUAUGGUUCAGGCGUUUGUCUUGUAGCCAAGUUUGAAGCUGCUGUCGAUGGGAAAAUAUACAGUGCAAAUCUUUACUUUAUCAGUGGGCACUCCAUGGAACACUUAUGCUCAGCAGUGAUUCCUGUUUUGUUUGUUAUUAUGCUCGUGUAGAAACAUUAGAAUUCAGAGAUUAAGUGACUUGAAAGAGCGUCCUUGAAGACAAUAUAGAGACAAAGAAGACAUUUCUAAGUGCUGCAGCCAGCAGUUAUCCUAGAAAUCACAAUAGGAGGAGGCAGGGAAUGAUCUGUUACUGCUUCUGAAAAACUGGAUAAAUCAUGUUCUACCAUUUUUUAUUAUAUUCAUUCUUUUGAAAUGUGGUGUUAACCACAAAUGAAAUUUUCUUGUAUUUGCUUUAGGCUGUGAAACAUCCAAUAACAAUGCUCGAGGGUGAUGAGUCGUAGUGGCCUGAAAUUAUGGAUUUUCAAAUUUUUUCCUAAUGGCAAGCAGUAUAACUGUAAGCAUCUGAAUAUAGUGGAUAUUUUAACUAUUCUUUACA